AAAGUCGUAACAAGGUUUCCGUAGGUGAACCUGCGGAAGGAUCAUUACCAAUAUUUAUAUUCAAAACCCAUGUGCACGAUGAAUUAUUGUCCUGGUUUUUGGGGUGGUGCUUUUAACUGCGCUACCCCAACCAAUUUUAAACCUACUUUAUAUUGUUAUGGCAUCGUAUUUUGUCUAAAAUUUAUGACAACUUUUAACGGUGGAUCUCUUGGCUCGU
rnacentral:misc_RNA from 1 species